AGAGUUUGAUCCUGGCUCAGGAUGAACGCUGGCGGCGUGCUUAACACAUGCAAGUCGAACGAAGCACCUUGAUUUGAUUCUUCGGAUGAAGAUCCUGGUGACUGAGUGGCGGACGGGUGAGUAACGCGUGGGUAACCUGCCUCAUACAGGGGGAUAACAGUUAGAAAUGACUGCUAAUACCGCAUAAGACCACAGCACCGCAUGGUGCAGGGGUAAAAACUCCGGUGGUAUGAGAUGGACCCGCGUCUGAUUAGGUAGUUGGUGGGGUAACGGCCUACCAAGCCGACGAUCAGUAGCCGACCUGAGAGGGUGACCGGCCACAUUGGGACUGAGACACGGCCCAAACUCCUACGGGAGGCAGCAGUGGGGAAUAUUGCACAAUGGGGGAAACCCUGAUGCAGCGACGCCGCGUGGAGGAAGAAGGUCUUCGGAUUGUAAACUCCUGUUGUUGAGGAAGAUAAUGACGGUACUCAACAAGGAAGUGACGGCUAACUACGUGCCAGCAGCCGCGGUAAAACGUAGGUCACAAGCGUUGUCCGGAAUUACUGGGUGUAAAGGGAGCGCAGGCGGGAAGACAAGUUGGAAGUGAAAUCUAUGGGCUCAACCCAUAAACUGCUUUCAAAACUGUUUUUCUUGAGUAGUGCAGAGGUAGGCGGAAUUCCCGGUGUAGCGGUGGAAUGCGUAGAUAUCGGGAGGAACACCAGUGGCGAAGGCGGCCUACUGGGCACCAACUGACGCUGAGGCUCGAAAGUGUGGGUAGCAAACAGGAUUAGAUACCCUGGUAGUCCACACCGUAAACGAUGAUUACUAGGUGUUGGAGGAUUGACCCCUUCAGUGCCGCAGUUAACACAAUAAGUAAUCCACCUGGGGAGUACGACCGCAAGGUUGAAACUCAAAGGAAUUGACGGGGGCCCGCACAAGCAGUGGAUUAUGUGGUUUAAUUCGAAGCAACGCGAAGAACCUUACCAGGGCUUGACAUCCUACUAACGAAGUAGAGAUACAUCAGGUGCCCUUCGGGGAAAGUAGAGACAGGUGGUGCAUGGUUGUCGUCAGCUCGUGUCGUGAGAUGUUGGGUUAAGUCC
rnacentral:rRNA from 1 species